rnacentral:lncRNA from 1 species
AGACUAUGACUGAAAUUUUCAUGUUCCUCUCAUUUACAUGUUUGCAAUCAUCCUGUAGGCUGCAAAAAUUCAAGCACUAUAAAUUAUGGCAAUACCUCAGAGACCUAAAACCAUGCAUGACAAAAGAUGGUGUAGAAGGUACGUGGAAAGAGAAACAAGGUGAGGAAUUUGCCACUCUGGGGAAUGGAUCUUAAAGGUAACCUGAGUGCUGAUGUUUUGAUCAGAGUACUGCGGCAUUGUGUUCAAUCAUAUCUUUUCUGCAUCAGAACCUGGGCCAGCACAGGGGGAUGUGCAAGCACAGAUGCGCAGUACGGAGCGAGAGAUCGAUCGGCUGAACUGCCUGUUCCUGCACCUGAGUGCUCGUCUCCAGGGAGGAGUGGAGGCAAAAGUGUGGCCAGAGGAACAGAAGCAGGAUGGGGACAAACCCCCAGAGGUAUGCACAUCCCUCUGGAUAGAAAGAUCUGUUCAGCAACAACAAGAACAACAACAACUACAACAACAACAACAGCCAUGGUCUGUGCCGUUUGUGUGCAGGCAACUGUGAACACGACUCGCAGCCCAACUAAAACCCUACUGCUGUCCCUGAAGAGGCGCUGCGUAGCUCAGAGGCUCAGUGAAAUGCACCAGAAGCUGUCCCAGAUCAAGUUGUCCCAGAUUGGGCCGGACCAGUUCGGAUUGGGCCAACAACACAGCUGUGACGCCGACAUCGUGGGGCAAGAUGGCCACUUUCUUAUGGAGAGUGGCAACAAACCAGAGGCCCACAAAGUGGAGCAGAUGGGCAACCAGGAGCAGCAUUUCCAAACAGCAGACAGUAUAGAACCAGAUGGGCAGAAAUAAAAAAUCAAAUAAUGACAGCCCCAAAUCAGAGAGCUAGAAAGUGGACCAUCAGACAUCUGACACCAAAAGAGACUCCAAUGGGGACAAAAUGACUCAGAAAAAGCAUUUCAAAGGAUACUGGCUUUUUAAAACAUCCCCAAACUGUGCACAUUUCCCUUUAGUUCUGUAAUCAGUCUUUUGGUUGCUGUGUGAGUUUCUUUUGAGUGAGACAUUAAAACACAGAAGUUAUUCCAAUGAUUGAUUGAUCUGAACAGCUUAAAAUUUUCUGAGGUUUUAUUUUUUUCUCAGCUUUGUGUGAAAUCAAAUAUUUUUAUUCUUUGCUCAAAGUCAA